CUUGGCGCGAAGAGGAAGGGAGGUGGAGCUCCAGCCAGGAGCCCGUUCGUCUGUCUGCUCUAUGGGGCUGGCUCAGUUCGCUGCGGAGAAAGGCAUGUGCUUCCCUCGUACUUUGGCAGCAGAAGUAAGGAACCUUAAAGACCAUUUAGCUCCAAGCCCUCUGCUGUGUGCCAGAGAUGAACAAAUAGAGAAGUGCCACUGGCAGGGACACAGACUGCAGCUCCCAUUUCUAGAAGGGAGAAAGAAAAAGGACACUGAAGAUAACAUGGUCUAAGAAGACUUGCAAGAGCAUGACAUGUGUCAUGGAACUUAAUGUUACCGCAAAAGACACUGCAUGAAAACAAACCAAGCAAGCAAACAAACAAAGAAGAAGUGGAUACUCCGCAGUCUAAGAAAAUCUGAUAUAGAAGGGGGCUUCACACAGGACCAAACUAUCCCAGAAGAUACCUGUGGAGAAUGCAAAUAAAUAUCCAUAAUACUUUCAGACUUCACGCCCACUUUUUAGUGAAGAUUGCUUACCAUAGGAGGAAUAGCAAAAUGCAAGAACAGCACAAGAGUAAGCUGGCAGAACCCUGAAGUCCAGCGUUUUCUGGCAUGGCUCAUAAUAUAUAUCCAUUUUUCAAUAUUGGAAUAAGAUGUAAAAAACAUCUGACAACUAUUAUGAAGCAGAAUAUUUACAUGCAUUGUACUGUUCACCUAACAUUCUAGUCCAAAAUCUAUUAAAAUGACCAAAGGCUUUUCACUUAUUUCAGUGGAAUCUCAAUUAAGUCCAUAAGGAUGGUUAUCUCCAAAAAGUGGGUAGGGAAAAUUCCAG
ensembl:lncRNA